ACGAACGCUGGCGGCGUGCCUAAUACAUGCAAGUCGAACGAACCGCGACUAAGUGCUUGCACUAAGUCAAGGUGAGUGGCGAACGGGUGAGUAACACGUGGGUAACCUACCUCAUAGUGGGGGAUAACAGUCGGAAACGACUGCUAAUACCGCAUAGGACAUAGGAUCACAUGAUCCAGUGAGGAAAGGUGGCGCAAGCUAUCGCUAAGAGAUGGACCCGCGGUGCAUUAGCUAGUUGGUAGGGUAAAGGCCUACCAAGGCGAUGAUGCAUAGCCGACCUGAGAGGGUGAUCGGCCACAUUGGGACUGAGACACGGCCCAAACUCCUACGGGAGGCAGCAGUAGGGAAUCUUCCGCAAUGGACGCAAGUCUGACGGAGCAACGCCGCGUGAGUGAAGAAGGUCUUCGGAUCGUAAAGCUCUGUUGUUAGAGAAGAACAGCGCAUAGAGUAACUGCUAUGCGUGUGACGGUAUCUAACCAGAAAGCCACGGCUAACUACGUG
rnacentral:rRNA from 1 species